GGAUGAUCUCUCCUCCCUGGCUCCCAUAUUCCUGUGCAGCCGUCUUCUCCCCUGGGUACAGAACCAAGAGGAUCAGCUGGAAACAGUGCGCUGAUGGUGGUGGUUCACUAACGGAAUCCUUAAACAUCCAUCACAAUUGAAUUACCAAAGCUUCUGAAUCUCCUCCACCUUUAACCACAACCUUUCCUGACCUAUGCUUACGACUGAUAUCUUUCAACAAUGAGAUCCCUCUGAUGCUU